rnacentral:rRNA from 1 species
UACAGAGGGUGCAAGCGUUGUUCGGAAUUACUGGGCGUAAAGGGCGCGUAGGCGGUCAGCACAAGUCAGUUGUGAAAUCUCCGGGCUUAACUCGGAAAGGUCAACUGAUACUGUGCGACUAGAGUGCGGAAGGGGCAACUGGAAUUCUCGGUGUAGCGGUGAAAUGCGUAGAUAUCGAGAGGAACACCUGCGGCGAAGGCGGGUUGCUGGGCCGACACUGACGCUGAUGCGCGAAAGCCAGGGGAGCGAACGGG